rnacentral:rRNA from 1 species
UACGUAGGUGGCAAGCGUUGUCCGGAUUUACUGGGCGUAAAGAGCGCGCAGGCGGUCGUUCAAGUCGCGUGUGAAAGCCCCCGGCUCAACUGGGGAGGGUCACGCGAUACUGAUCGACUCGAAGGCAGGAGAGGGUAGUGGAAUUCCCGGUGUAGUGGUGAAAUGCGUAGAUAUCGGGAGGAACACCAGUGGCGAAGGCGAGCUACCUGGCCUGGUUCUUGACGCUGAGGCGCGAAAGCUA